rnacentral:lncRNA from 1 species
GAAAACGUAAUAAUUCGGGUAAUCAUUCUCUUGUCAUGUCCUCUGCUGUCCCUCGUAAUGAGGUGUUUCCCUCUGCUAUAAGCAAAAAAACUUUGUCUCUCUCAGGUUCGGUGGUGUCCCAGAAACCACCCAGUAAGAGAAUAUGAGUGCCAUAGCUUGGAAUUGUCAGGGCGCCGGAGCUUACCUGACCAAGAAACAUCUCCGGGA